GUGUAAUCACCAGUCAAACUGCUCUUUGCCCUCUUCACCAAGUAAUGUAACUUCCUGUUUGCUCUUCAAAACCGAAACUUGAAAAGAAAAAUCCUCCGCCGCCAUUUCCUUUUCUGUAUCGCCAGCAGUAUAGAUUCAUAUUUUUGCGUGAACUGCCACGGGCCUGUCUUUCGGAGCAACAAGUUGUGCUGAAGGCAGACGGGGAAAGUUUGUCAGGAUUUUUUAAGACUCUGUUUUAAGAAUCUGCCUGUGGCUGCGCUCUCCUCUCACAGAGACAGUCCAGCGGUGCUGACGCAGAGUGAGCAGACAUGACUGUCGCAGAGCUGCUUCUGGACUGUCUGCAACAGUUGAAUAAGGACGAAUUCAGGAUUUUUAAGUGGCAUCUGAAGCAGCACAAGCUGGAAGGUUACAAGCCGAUUGCUCCGUUUUAUCUAGAGGAUGCUGAGCGGACCGAAACAGUAAGUAAGAUGAUAGCGAACUAUACAGAAGACGUUGCUGUGACAGUUGCUGUGGCCGUCCUGAAGAAACAACAAAUGAAUGAUCUUGCACAGAAGCUGUCGAUAGCACAUCAAGCACAGAAAAAUUGAGUACUGUGUCCUCCACCACUUCCUCUUUCGAAACCGCACCUGAAACCUCACCUGCGGCCGCGCCUCCUGCAGCUGUAGCCGCGCCGCCUGCAGCCGUAGCCAUGCCGAAUACAAGUCCCUCAUUGGUAGCUCAGGAGGGAAGUGUGAUCUUUGCUCCAAUCAUCAGCAGUAGUGAACCCGGAACAUGGAACGUAACUCUUAGCAAAAACUAAUGACACUGAUGUCAUACAGUAGAACUACGUGAACCGCAGCCUGUUUCUAGUACUGUAUUACAAUGGCUUUAUUGUACUUUCUUCUUUUUUUUUUCUGCAAUUUUCAUUUUAUUUUCAGAGGUGUGAUAGUUAAGCGACUGUCGCCUCAUCGCACAAGUUCCACAGGAAAUGAACAGAGACUCGCAGAGGGACAGAAAGAAUCCUGAACCAGUUGAGUCUUUGGUACACUGGUUCACUUCCUGCUCUGCUGUAUCUCAUCAGUUCAACUGUCUCCUUUUCAGAGAGAUCCACUCUGACCUUGUUUUGUAAAUAUGUCUAUUUACAAAGAAGCCAAGUAUGUGAUUUUCGUUUUAUUUUUUAUUUUUACUUCAGAGGUAUUUCAUCCAUGAUGUCUGCCCAUUCUGCUGAUGCUCUUCUUAGGCUGCAGAUAUCAUUAUUUUAGUUAUAAAAGAUGUUUAUUGGCAUUCCCAAAUAAUAAAGUCUGAUAUCUACAAUAAAUGUUUCAAAAUGUUUGGGUAUCUUCCUAUGAAACAGAAAGGUAUGAUCAAACUGAAAGUUAUGGCUCUUAUGAAGGAUUUAUUUUAUGCUGAUUUAAUGGAGCUUCAGUGGAAAGAAAACACUGAUGUCUUAUCUAGGAAGUGAUUCUUUUUUCAUAUUGUGCUGACGAAUAAUUUUUAUUUUUCACUCUUUCGUCUGUAUUACCAGUUGACUUAAGAUUAGCAAAUGUUUGAGAAAUUUAUAUUGCUGAAUAUUUGCCUGUCUUUCACAACUUUGUGAUAUGUUCAUUGCAAUAAUGACCAUAUCACAAAUAUUAAACAUUUUAAAUUUGCAACUGCCGUGUUGUUGUUGGUUACUAUGCAACCCAAAAAGACAACAAAACUAGUCAUUUACAUUUUGUCUGUCUCCUUUAUUUUGCGUUU